UAAGCAUAUCAAUAAGCGGAGGAAAAGAAACCAACAGGGAUUGCUCUAGUAACGGCGAGUGAAGCAGCAAUAGCUCAAAUUUGAAAUCUGGCGUCUUCGACGUCCGAGUUGUAAUUUGUAGAGGAUGCUUCUGAGUAACCACCGACCUAAGUUCCUUGGAACAGGACGUCAUAGAGGGUGAGAAUCCCGUAUGCGGUCGGAAAGGUGCUCUAUACGUAGCUCCUUCGACGAGUCGAGUUGUUUGGGAAUGCAGCUCUAAAUGGGAGGUAAAUUUCUUCUAAAGCUAAAUAUUGGCCAGAGACCGAUAGCGCACAAGUAGAGUGAUCGAAAGAUGAAAAGCACUUUGGAAAGAGAGUUAAAAAGCACGUGAAAUUGUUAAAAGGGAAGGGAUUGCAACCAGACUUGCUCGCGGUGUUCCGCCGGUCUUCUGACCGGUCUACUCGCCGCGUUGCAGGCCAGCAUCGUCUGGUGCCGCUGGAUAAGACUUGAGGAAUGUAGCUCCCUCGGGAGUGUUAUAGCCUCUUGUGAUGCAGCGAGCGCCGGGCGAGGUCCGCGCUUCGGCUAGGAUGCUGGCGUAAUGGUCGUAAUCCGCCCGUCUUGAAACACGGACCAAGGAGUCUAACAUCUAUGCGAGUGUUCGGGUGUCAAACCCCUACGCGUAAUGAAAGUGAACGGAGGUGAGAACCGCAAGGUGCAUCAUCGACCGAUCCUGAUGUCUUCGGAUGGAUUUGAGUAAGAGCAUAGCUGUUGGGACCCGAAAGAUGGUGAACUAUGCCUGAAUAGGGUGAAGCCAGAGGAAACUCUGGUGGAGGCUCGCAGCGGUUCCUGACGUGCAAAUCGAUCGUCAAAUUUGGGUAUAGGGGCGAAAGACUAAUCGAACCAUCUAGUAGCUGGUUCCUGCGA
rnacentral:rRNA from 1 species